rnacentral:lncRNA from 1 species
UUGCGGAGCCGAUACUUGCCUCGAAGCGUCUGUAGGAGCCAUAACGAUCGCGACAGCCUCGGGGAGCAUCACCUGGAAAGGAAGUCCGUCACUCAAGAGGAAGAAAAUCUCGGAAGAAGCGACUGCCAGGCAAGCCACGAAGGUAUCCGAAAUCACAUUCCAUAAUUUCCUACUAUCCGUUGAGAUUAUGAAUGAGAAUCAUUUGAUGAACUGCGCAUUGAAAUCACGGUGGCAGUUGUUGAUAAAUCAAGCGAGAUCAUCUAAUCUUGAUGAAAAACACGAUGAGCAAGCGUUUUGAUGCGGAGAUCCCAUCGUCGUCACGUACCUGGUAUGAGUACUGUGUGUGAAGAUCAAUCGAUGACAUGAAACAACUUUGAGAAGGAU